GACAGAGGGUGCAAACGUUGUUCGGAAUUACUGGCGUAAGGCGCGAUGUAGGCUGCUCGGAAAGUCGGAUGUGAAAUCCCCGGGCUUAACCUGGGAACUGCGUUUCUAACUGGCAGGCUUGAGUGUGGCAGAGGGGGGUGGAAUUCCACGUGGUAGCAGUGAAAUGCGUAGAAGAUGUGGAGGAACACCGAUGGCGGAAGGCAGCCCCCUGGGCUAACCACUGACG
rnacentral:rRNA from 1 species